rnacentral:lncRNA from 1 species
GUGGAAAAUCUUUAUUUGAUGAUAUAGCACUAGUGAAUAAAAAACAAACCUAUGUUAAAAUGGAUAAAAACAAGAAAGAUUUCGUAGUAUCCAUAAGUGAGGGAAAAAUGCAAGAUGAUUUAGAUUAUAUCCAAAAGAAUAAAAUGAUAAAAAAAAAAAAUAAAAAUAUUUCUUUUUUAAAUGAAACAAACGAUUUUAUUCCUGUAAAAAGUGUGGAAAAUGCAAAUGACAAAAGUAACGACGGAAGUAACGACAAAAGUAACGACAAAAGUACAGACAAAAGUAACGACAAAAGUAACGACAAAAGUAACGACAAAAGUACAGACAAAAGUAACGACAAAAGUAACGACAAAAGUAACGACAAAAGUAAAGACAAAAGUAAAGACAAAAGUAACGACAAAAGUAACGACAAAAGUAACGACAAAAGUAACGACAAAAGUAAAGACAAAAGUAACGACAAAAGUAACGACAAAAGUAACGACAAAAGUAACGACGAACAGGUACCCAGACAAGAAAAAAAAAAAAAAAAAAAAAAAAAAAAAAAAAAAGUGAUAACAAUAAACGAAGGGGAUCAAAAAAAAAUAGGGAAUAAUAUAAAAAAUGAUACAUAUAUACCUUCAGAUGAUGAUUUAAAUAAAGAGGAAAAUAUUCUCCAAGUAGUAAAUAAUAAUAAUAAGCAGGACCAAGAGAAGAAGCAAAAGGAAAAAUCGACUACACAAAACUGUAGUAACUACAAUAAAAGUAUCAGUAAUAAAAAAGAAAAUAAUUCUUAUGCUUUACGCAAAUAUAAAUCUAUGUAUAUCACAAAGUUUAAUAAUAUUAACAAAUACAACAUGAGAGGAAAAAGUAAAAAUACGUGCAGUGCGAGAAAAACAAGAAAACAUAAAACUGUUAUUGGUUUUGAAAAAAAAAAGAAAAAAAAAAAAAACUCCAUACGAAAUAAUAAACAUAAAGAAAAAGACGAAAAAGAAGACUCUGUUAAUUGGUCCGACACAAGUGAUAUAGACAUUUUAAAUGAUAAAAUAAUAGCUGACUUAUCAAAAGAUAUAUAUAACGAUAUAAAAAUAAUAAAAAAAAAUUACGAAAGGGAUGAAUAUUUAAUUAAGUAUUCUGAUAUUUUUGAUUCCUUUUUAAAUAUCAAAUUGAUGUUAGAGAAUGAUCAAAAUAAUAGUAUGUUAUCAUCUUUUGAAAAUUCGUAUAAUUCAAAUUUUAUAACAAAAAAAAUAAUAAUAAUUACCAGUUGAAGAGUACUACAGAAUUUUACCCAACUAGUACUAACAAAGAAGAAGAUAUAAAGAAUGAGUAUAGUAGUAGUAAACAUAUAUAUCCUAUUACAAAUCUAAACAUGUAUCAAAACAAUUAUAAUAUGUAUAACAUUAGUCCUAAAAAAGAAUUAUCAUAUAGUCAGCAGGAUUUGAAAAACAAGGACAAAGACUUAAACCAACUAAAAAAGAAAGAAAAAAACCAUUCCGUUGAAGUAGAAGAAAUGUACGAUAAAUGGAAUAAAGAUGAGGGGAAACAAGUUAAUAAUUGUGCU